rnacentral:rRNA from 1 species
UACGUAGGGUGCAAGCGUUGUCCGGAAUUAUUGGGCGUAAAGAGCUCGUAGGCGGUCUGUCGCGUCUGCUGUGAAAACUCAGGGCUUAACCCUGAGCUUGCAGUGGGUACGGGCAGACUAGAGUGCGGUAGGGGAGACUGGAAUUCCUGGUGUAGCGGUGAAAUGCGCAGAUAUCAGGAGGAACGCCGGUGGCGAAGGCGGGGUCUCUGGGCCGUAACU